rnacentral:rRNA from 1 species
GACGAACGCUGGCGGCGUGCCUAAUACAUGCAAGUCGAGCGGACCGAAUGGAAGCUUGCUUUCAUUCGGUUAGCGGCGGACGGGUGAGUAACACGUGGGUAACCUGCCCGUAAGACCGGGAUAACUUCGGGAAACCGGAGCUAAUACCGGAUAACACCGAGGAUCGCAUGAUCCUUGGUUGAAAGGUGGCUUCGGCUACCACUUACGGAUGGGCCCGCGGCGCAUUAGCUAGUUGGUGAGGUAACGGUUCACCAAGGCGACGAUGCGUAGCCGGCCUGAGAGGGUGACCGGCCACACUGGGACUGAGACACGGCCCAGACUCCUACGGGAGGCAGCAGUAGGGAAUCUUCCGCAAUGGACGAAAGUCUGACGGAGCGACGCCGCGUGAGCGAAGAAGGCCUUCGGGUCGUAAAGCUCUGUUGUUAGGGAAGAACAAGUACCGUUCGAAUAGGGCGGUACCUUGACGGUACCUAACGAGAAAGCCCCGGCUAACUACGUGCCAGCAGCCGCCGUAA